rnacentral:lncRNA from 1 species
CGUUCUCAUCAAAUUUGAAGCUAACAUUUAUGGAGCACUUGCUACAAGCCAGGAACUCUUCGGGGUGUUGAGGAUACAGCAGUUAACAAAACAGACAAGACCCUUGCCCUCAUGGCCUUACAUUCUAGAAAGGCAGACAGACAAUAAACAAAAGAACACCUCCACCAGAGGGCAGGAAGAACAGGAAGAGAAGCAUUGCAACCGGUUUGAUCAAAAAGUUGCAAUAAGAAAACGUAAGUCAUUAUCUUAAUUUAGGCUUUGGAGUCUUUUAGAUUUCAGUUACU